CUUGUUUCAUCUAAAUUAAGAUGGUUAAAAGCAGCAUUUUUCUUCUGCAUAAGUAAAGUUUCAAAGUUGUAUUAAGUCAAAUUUCAGUUGUAAACUUUUGAAAGAACAACCAUAAUGUUUUUUGUUCAGCUUUACAAACAUCUUCCAUUCCUGAGGUGAUCAUAAAUUUGAGGUUCUACUGUAUACAAAAACUGCUGCUGAAUGGCGUGGACUUGAAAAUUAAACUGACGCAUAGCAAAGA